AUCCUGUUUUGGGUGUUAGGAU
rnacentral:misc_RNA from 1 species